AACAAUUAGAUUUUCUAUUAUUUAUCAUAAAACUUAAAGUUUUUUAAAAAAUAAACAACAAUAUGGGAAUUAUGAAAAUGUAUAGAAGGAAUUGGAAUGAUGUUUAAAUGUGGAGUCACAGAGUUUGACUUGGACAUGGCAUCGAGUUUUUUCUCCCCCUUAAAUUUGUAAACGUCCCACACUAUGCCCAAAUAUCCAAUCAAGCUUCUUUUGUUGACUGUGUGUUUGACAAUGAAAAAAGACCGCCAAAAUUCAAAUCAUUGACUCGGGCGCGAUACAGAUCCACCAAACACAUGGAAUUGAAUCCUGAGGUUCGUGAUAUAUUUAGCGGUAAUCUUAUCGGCUAGCGACAACACGAUAUAGACAGCCCAUUGGACCUGAAGUUACCCUGGAACUGGUAUCAACCCGGCUUUUAUUUUAACGGAAAAAUGGAUCGACUCCGACUUCAGCGUGACCAUUUCCACUCUUCCUCGGAAACGCAGCGUUCUACUCGUUUGUCGUAAGGGCCUCGACGAGUCCACCGAAUACGACACUCCGGGCAGUCAGCCAUGGUCUUCUUGGCCCGUCCACACCCGUAGCAGAAGUCCCGACGGGGCUGUGAGCACUCACGGUUCCGCACGCUUCCGGCUGUUGCUAGCGAAAGAUGGAACUACCCGAAUAUGCAAUCGAACAACGGAAUUCUUUCUUAGUGACGUCACGAUUCGCCGAAAAAUUCCUGAAGGAAUUAAAAUAUUAAUACAGGUUCCGACGUCAUACCCACACAAAGAAUUUGAUGCUUCAUGAAUUCCUUUGUCUUACAAGCAAACAUACCCGACAAACAAAUAAGUAAAUAGAUGCAAAAAAAAAUAUCAAUCCUCCUCCAAUUUUCUAUAUACAGAAAAUAAAAUAAAAUCGAUCAACGAAGAUACUCACAAAAAAAACUGAAGGGAAAGAAAAAAAGAAAUAUCGGAAACUAAGCAACACUAACAAAAAAAAAGUUAAAAUUUAACAAUAAAAUAAAAAUUUUUAAAAAUAUGCGACUUCUUCUAACUGUGAACCUCACGUUGGGCGCCAAUUUGUAACGUAAAAAUUUAAACUCGAUAAUAAAUAAACUAAUAAAAUAAUGUUCAAUUUUCACAGCGGGAAGUCAAAAAAUAAUAAACUUUUCUUUAAUGAAUUAUUACAAUUUAUUUUAUAUAUAUUUAAAAUAUAUCUUUUAUAAAACCUUACAAAAAUGAAUCAAUUAUUUUAAUUUUUCAUACACAUAAAUUUAUAUAAAUUAUCGCAUAAUGUACAUACAUAAAUAAAACACACCCUCAAAAUAUAACAUUCAUACC